GGAUGUGAGGGCAAUCUGGCUACAACAUCUGUUACCCCAUUGAUCGGCAGGAUUGAUGCAGCUGAUAUAGCUGGCUAGGCGGGUGUCCACUUCCUCCUUCACUGCUCCAUGUACAUCUCUCCUGAAGCUAUGCGCUUAGCAGAAGCAGACAAUUAUCCCAGAUAGAAAGAGUGUAACCACCAUUCUUCAGUCAAUGGCACACACUCCCUUGUUACAGCCUCCAAAUAAGCUCAUGUACACAGUUAGUGCCAAAGGAGCACAGAAGUUUGGAGUACUAUUAAACUAUUCUUAGUUUUAUCUAAAUCUAAGGGUUUGUU
rnacentral:snRNA from 1 species